CAGUAGCCACGGUAAUACCGAGGAUGCAAGCGUUGUCCGGAAUUAUUGGGCGUAAAGGGCUCGCAGGCGGUUUCUUAAGUCUGAUGUGAAAGCCCCCGGCUCAACCGGGGAGGGUCAUUGGAAACUGGGAAACUUGAGUGCAGAAGAGGAGAGUGGAAUUCCACGUGUAGCGGUGAAAUGCGUAGAGAUGUGGAGGAACACCAGUGGCGAAGGCGACUCUCUGGUCUGUAACUGACGCUGAGGAGCGAAAGCGUGGGGAGCGAACAGGAUUAGAUACCCCCGUAGUCCCUGUCUCUUAUAC
rnacentral:rRNA from 1 species